GAUAAUGAAGGUCCACAUCAUUCAGGCCCAAAAUGAAGUGUUGGGGUGAAGGGAUGACAGCUGAGGCACUGCCACAAUUACAUCUAGAGGCGAUUCCCUCAGGCUGCUCCAUAUGGCCCUGCAAACUGAAACUGUGCUUCACUGGCAAGAGCGGAGGGGCAUUGAGAUGUGGCCAUUACUCCUGAUGCACCAUCAUUCUUCAGACACUAGAGGCUGCUGUCUUCUUCCCCCCCC